UACGUAGGGUGCAAGCGUUGUCCGGAAUUAUUGGGCGAAAGAGCUCGUAGGCGGUCUGUCGCGUCUGCUGUGAAAACUCGGGGCUUAACCCCGGGCCUGCAGUGGGUACGGGCAGACUAGAGUGCGGUAGGGGAGACUGGAAUUCCUGGUGUAGCGGUGAAAUGCGCAGAUAUCAGGAGGAACACCAGUGCGAAGGCAGCUCGCUGGGACGUUACUGACGCUGAGACGCGAAAGCGUGGGGAGCAAACAGG
rnacentral:rRNA from 1 species